rnacentral:rRNA from 1 species
CACGUAGGGUGCGAGCGUUUGUCCGGAAUUAUUGGGCGUAAAGAGCUCGUAGGCGGUGUGUCGCGUCGGCCGUGAAAACCUGCAGCUUAACUGUGGGCUUGCGGUCGAUACGGGCAUCACUGGAGUUCGGCAGGGGAGACUGGAAUUCCUGGGUGAUAGCGGUGAAAUGCGCAGAUAUCAGGAGGAACACCAAUUGGCGAAGGCAGCUCGCUGGGACGUUACUGACGCGUGGAGAACGGCGAAGGUCAGGGGAGCAAACGGG